CUCUCCCUAUCUUUCUCUGUAAAACCCAGAUAAUACUACUUCCAGAAUAAAGAAAGGGUUUUCUUUAAGCCCUUUGAGCUUCAGAUGGAGGCACCACAGCCCUGCCCGGGGCCGCGCCGGCCACCAUGUGAUUAGGUGGAGGGACCUGUAUCCCCAGACCAGCAUCCCCAGAAGCUUCCUCUGCAAGACACAGAAGACUCCCGGGCAGUUGGCCUUGCUGGGCAGGGCGGGAGCUAUGCCUGUGCAGAGAUGAGGAGAAGUCAAUGGCUGCCAUACAUUGACCUCCUACUACGUGCCAAGAAUUAUGCUAGAUCUCAGUACCCAUCUGGAUACUUCAUUAGGGUCCUAAGACAUCUGGGGACCAGCGAUGGAAGAAACGUGCUUGUGUCGGGUGCCUAUCGUACGCCCGCACUGUGCUGAGCCCUUUCCAAUAUGGUAUCUCGGAUGGUCCCCCACCAAAAAAAAAAAAAGAAAAGAAAAGAAAAAAAGAGAAAAGAAAACCUGCCAGAGUGGAAUUAUCAUUUCCAUUUUAUAAGUGAGGAAACAGGCUCAGAGAGGCUGAGUGACCUACCCAAGGUCACACAGGUGGGAAAUAGCAGUUCCUGAAUCUGAACCAAGAUGAUGACAUUGUCAAGGGGCAGUUUGGGAGGUUUUCAUUGCGGCCCCAUCUCCGGCAGCAACGUCCUUCCCCAUGACAUCCCCCUCCCCCAAAUAAAUACACAGUCUGAGUAAGAAGAAUAUGCAGGGGACACGAUGACACUUUAGGGGUUCCCCUGCCUCCUCCCUUUCACAGAGAUGGCUGCUCCAAGCCCCUCUGCACAGACACCCUGGAGUCCCCACUAAAUCAAGAUCCGUCUGACUCUGAAGGACAGGUCCUCCCAAUACAACCGGACGUCAGUUCUCUUCGAUUCCUACCAAGAAGACCUUUGCUUUCUUAAAACCUUUACGUAGAAGAGCCAGUCAGUCAGUGUAGGAUUCCCCUAACGGAGACCCGAACCACAGAUUCCAGAAUUUCACCAGCCUACCCAAGGUCGCCAGCCCAGGAAAUGCCCCACACUUCUCAGGGAACAGUGAUGCUUCGCAUCCUGGAGGGGAGCACGGGCGUGAAGAAGCACAGCAUUAGUGAUGUAGAUUAGAGUUUCAAUUUAUGUUGAAGCAUCUGCUGGCCAAGGUCCAGUUCAUUUUGGGUUCCAGCUAAAUUUAUUCGGCCUCAGGCGCCUGGGUGGCUCAGUCGGUUGAGCAUCUGACUUCAGCUCUGGUCGUGAUCUCCACAGUCCGUGGGUUCCAACCCCGCAUCGGGCUCCGUGCUGACAGCUCGGAGCCUGGAGCCUGCUUCGGAUUCUGUGUCUCCCUCUCUCUCUGCCCCUCCUGUGCUCAUGCUCUGUCUCUCUCAAAAAUAAAUAAACAUUA